UACGGAGGGUGCAAGCGUUAUCCGGAUUCACUGGGUUUAAAGGGUGCGUAGGUGGGCAGGUAAGUCAGUGGUGAAAUCUCCGGGCUUAACCCGGAAACUGCCAUUGAUACUAUUUGUCUUGAAUACCGUGGAGGUCAGCGGAAUAUGUCAUGUAGCGGUGAAAUGCUUAGAUAUGUCAUAGAACACCGAUUGCGAAGGCAGCUAACGAAACUAUAACUGACGCUGAGGCACGAAGGUGCGGGGAUCAAACAGG
rnacentral:rRNA from 1 species